rnacentral:lncRNA from 1 species
UAGAUUAGUUUAAAAAUUUUGCCUUGUUUUUUAGGUUGGAAUCUACCCUAAAAAUAGGCUUAAAAUUUUGCUUUAUUAUCGUCCUAAUAAAAGUGCUAAACUCUAGUCAAGCUUAACCUCUCUUUAUAAAUAUUUUUAGAUUAUUUUUAUAUUUAAAAAUAAAUUUAAAAAUUAUAAUACAUCAAAUAGAUUUAAAAUAUUAAAAUAAAUAUUUUUU